rnacentral:rRNA from 1 species
UACGGAGGGGGCUAGCGUUGUUCGGAAUUACUGGGCGUAAAGCGCGCGUAGGCGGCUUUGCAAGUUAGAGGUGAAAGCCCGGAGCUCAACUCCGGAAUUGCCUUUAAGACUGCAUCGCUAGAAUCAUGGAGAGGUGAGUGGAAUUCCGAGUGUAGAGGUGAAAUUCGUAGAUAUUCGGAAGAACACCAGUGGCGAAGGCGACUCACUGGACAUGUAUUGACGCUGAGGUGCGAAAGCGUGGGGAGCAAACAGG